rnacentral:rRNA from 1 species
GGGUAACCUGCGGAAGGAUCAUUACCGAGUUUUCGAGCUGAGGCUCGGCUCGACUCUCCCACCCUUUGUGAACGUACCUCUGUUGCUUUGGCGGCUCCGGCCGCCAAAGGACCUUCAAACUCCAGUCAGUAAACGCAGACGUCUGAUAAACAAGUUAAUAAACUAAAACUUUCAACAACGGAUCUCUUGGUUCUGGCAUCGAUGAAGAACGCAGCGAAAUGCGAUAAGUAAUGUGAAUUGCAGAAUUCAGUGAAUCAUCGAAUCUUUGAACGCACAUUGCGCCCCUUGGUAUUCCGGGGGGCAUGCCUGUUCGAGCGUCAUUACAACCCUCAAGCUCUGCUUGGAAUUGGGCACCGUCCUCACUGCGGACGCGCCUCAAAGACCUCGGCGGUGGCUGUUCAGCCCUCAAGCGUAGUAGAAUACACCUCGCUUUGGAGCGGUUGGCGUCGCCCGCCGGACGAACCUUCUGAACUUUUCUCAAGGUUGACCUCGGAUCAGGUAGGGAUACCCGCUGAACUUAAGCAUAUCAAUAACCGGAGGAA